UGGGGAAUAUUGCACAAUGGGGGAAACCCUGAUGCAGCGACGCCGCGUGAACGAAGAAGGUAUUCGUAUCGUAAAGUUCUGUCCUAUGGGAAGUUAAUGACAGUACCAUAGAAGAAAGCUCCGGCUAAAUACGUGCCAGCAGCCGCGGUAAUACGUAUGGAGCGAGCGUUGUCCGGAAUUAUUGGGCGUAAAGGGUACGCAGGCGGUUUAAUAAGUCGAAUGUUAAAGAUCGGGGCUCAACCCCGCAAAGCAUUGGAAACUGAUAAACUUGAGUAGUGGAGAGGAAAGUGGAAUUCCUAGUGUAGUGGUGAAAUACGUAGAUAUUAGGAGGAAUACCAGUAGCGAAGGCGACUUUCUGGACACAAACUGACGCUGAGGUACGAAAGCGUGGGGAGCAAACAGG
rnacentral:rRNA from 1 species